rnacentral:misc_RNA from 2 species
AAGUCGUAACAAGGUUUCCGUAGGUGAACCUGCGGAAGGAUCAUUACCGAGAGUUGUAGGCUUCUGUCUACCAUCUCUUACCCAUGUCUUUUGCGUACUACACGUUUCCUCGGCAGGUCCGCCUGCCGUUAGGACAAUUUAAACCAUUUGCAGUUGCAGUCAGCGUCUGAAAAACUUAAUAAUUACAACUUUUAACAACGGAUCUCUUGGUUCUG